rnacentral:rRNA from 1 species
UACGUAGGGUGCAAGCGUAAUCGGAAUUACUGGGCGUAAAGCGUGCGCAGGCGGUUAUGUAAGACAGGUGUGAAAUCCCCGGGCUUAACCUGGGAACUGCAUUUGUGACUGCAUAGCUAGAGUACGGUAGAGGGGGAUGGAAUUCCGCGUGUAGCAGUGAAAUGCGUAGAUAUGCGGAGGAACACCGAUGGCGAAGGCAGCCCCCUGGGCUAACACUGACGCUCAGGCACGAAAGCGUGGGGAGCAAACAGG